AUUGAACGCUGGCGGCAGGCCUAACUCAUGCAAGUCGAGCGGUAACAGAUCUAGCUUGCUAGAUGCUGACGAGCGGCGGACGGGUGAGUAAUGCAUAGGAAUCUGCCCUGUAGUGGGGGAUAACCUGGGGAAACCCAGGCUAAUACCGCAUACGUCCUACGGGAGAAAGGGGGCUUUGGCUCCCGCUACGGGAUGAGCCUAUGUCGGAUUAGCUAGUUGGUGAGGUAACGGCUCACCAAGGCGACGAUCCGUAGCUGGUCUGAGAGGAUGAUCAGCCACAUCGGGACUGAGACACGGCCCGAACUCCUACGGGAGGCAGCAGUGGGGAAUAUUGGACAAUGGGGGGAACCCUGAUCCAGCCAUGCCGCGUGUGUGAAGAAGGCCUUCGGGUUGUAAAGCACUUUCAGCGAGGAAGAACGCCUAGUGGUUAAUACCCAUUAGGAAAGACAUCACUCGCAGAAGAAGCACCGGCUAACUCCGUGCCAGCAGCCGCGGUAAUACGGAGGGUGCAAGCGUUAAUCGGAAUUACUGGGCGUAAAGCGCGCGUAGGUGGCUUGAUAAGCCGGUUGUGAAAGCCCCGGGCUCAACCUGGGAACGGCAUCCGGAACUGUCAGGCUAGAGUGCAGGAGAGGAAGGUAGAAUUCCCGGUGUAGCGGUGAAAUGCGUAGAGAUCGGGAGGAAUACCAGUGGCGAAGGCGGCCUUCUGGACUGACACUGACACUGAGGUGCGAAGCGUGGGUAGCAAACAGGAUUAGAUACCCUGGUAGUCCACGCCGUAAACGAUGUCGACCAGCCGUUGGGUGCCCAGAGCACUUUGUGGCGAAGUUAACGCGAUAAGUCGACCGCCUGGGGAGUACGGCCGCAAGGUUAAAACUCAAAUGAAUUGACGG
rnacentral:rRNA from 1 species